rnacentral:rRNA from 1 species
AAUAUUGGACAAUGGGGGCAACCCUGACCCAGCCACCCCGCGUGUGUGAAGAAGGUCUUCGGAUUGUAAAGCACUUUAAGUUGGGAGGAAGGGCUUUAGGUUAAUACCCUGAAGUUGUGACGUUACCAACAGAAUAAGCACCUGCUAACUCGGUGCCAGCAGCCGCGGUAAUACAGAGGGUGCAAGCGUUAAUCGGAAUUACUGGGCGUAAAGCGCGCGUAGGUGGUUCAGUAAGAUGGGUGUGAAAUCCCCGGGCUUAACCUGGGAACUGCUUUCAUAACUGCUGAGCUAGAGUACGGUAGAGGGUAGUGGAAUUUCCUAUGUAGCGGUGAAAUGCGUAGAUAUAGGAAGGAACGCCAGUGGCGAAGGCGACUACCUGGACUGAUACUGACACUGAGGUGCGAAAGCGUGGGGAGCAAAC